AUGACGAGCCAAUUGGGGCGAACCUCCCCGCCAAGGCCGUCAUUUGGAGCGGCCUGUCGGAGGCUGGCGCGAUCCAUAUUAGCGAGGCACGGCAGAGAUGAAAAGAAUCAAGUGGCGGCGCAUACAGUAGUUUGUCUCACUCCAGCUUGAUAGCAUCUGCGGCGGAGACGGAAGGGGCGAUGACAUGCUGCGGCUGGCGUUGUUUGAGCUAAAGGGUUUGUUGCAAGCGGGUCCUUGAGCCUCAAGAUCCAUAUCUGUUAAUGAAGUCUCCAGCAGUACCAGGCAACAGUGAGUCUGCCAAAGUUUCCCUGGUGACUGAUGCUUUUCGCCGGCCGCAAAGAGAGUGAUGGACUCACCGACGUGCCAGAGCUAAGCCUACGUAGAAAAAGUCGCAGGGCCGUUAUUUGCCACUCGCCUCGCCACCGGACCCCCGAUCUUCAUUGUAGGCUUGACCCCGCAGUCGAGAGUUGGAGAGCCUUUUAGCAAAUUGGAAGCCUCACACCCUUUGGGACAAAGCGGGUGCAGACACUUUCGCACGCCAAGAAUUAGCGACUGGCAUAAUAAUUCGUGCCACCAGAAAAGGAGAUCAUGCUAACUCUGAGAGUCAAACCCCGAACCUCAGAACUGUGUGGUAACCACUAGUGCACCGUGCUCCUCAAGGAGAAAAGAGCCCUGGUGUGAACCCACCGGAACAUGAGUGGGGGCCUAAAACGCUCGUCCACUUGAGAUUUAGAACUAACUGGAAAGUGGUUGUAAAAGAGCGGCUAAUUGCUGCUGAAAGGUACUUGAAUGAAGAAGCGCUUAAGGGGUCUGGCCGGCAAAUUUGUGUUUUGCUCCCUUUUUAAAUUAAUUCGGCGAUAUUGACAAUUACUUGAUGGCAAGAAUAGAAUUGUUGCACUUGGAGGUGUGGCUCAAAGCCACUCGACCCGCGAGAAAACGCACACGGGGUUAAACUUGUCUCCUGUGAUGAAAUGUUGCCUGAUGGGUAACAAAGAGCUCACGGAAGACCCAAACUCAGCCGACUGGUCAGUGAAGUCACACUGAAUGAAAACAUAUAAAGCAAUCAUGAAAAUGAAACAAUAAUAAAAAUAUGAUAAGUGAGAAUGCAUUUUUUUGUAUGUGUUCUGCAAUUGGCUGGCGACCAGUUGAGGGUGUACCCCCCCCCCAAAGUUUGCUCCAGCCGCCCCGCGACCAUUUUGAGGAUAAGCGGCUCAGAAAAUGGAUGACACAUUUUAUGGAUACGUCUUUUUAUAUUAGUACGACAAAUAUAAUAUGCAGCGUAUAACACUGAGUUUGUGUUUGGUUUUAAAACGAUGUCGAAAUACAUUUUAGUAUCCUUCCAUCCAUUUUCCAAGCCGCUUAUCCUCAUGAGGGUCUCGGGAAAGCCGGAAGCUAUCCCAGCCAGCUUCGGGCGAAAGGCGGACUACACCACGAACUGGUCGACAGUCAGUCGCGGGGCAGGUAUCGACACCGUUACUGAGCGGGAGUCGAUGCCACGCUGCCCGCACCAAAGGCAGGCGUGUGUACCUCUACGUCAUCAGUGAC